CCCUUAGAUGUUCUGGGCCGCACGCGCGCUACACUGAUGCAUUCAACGAGUCUAAAACCUGCUCUGAUAGGGGUGGGUAAUCUUUUGAAUGUGCAUCGUGAUUGGGAUAGAUGAUUGCAAUUUUUCAUCUUCAACGAGGAAUGCCUAGUAAACGCAAGUCAUCAGCUUGCAUUGAUUACGUCCCUGCCCUUUGUACGCACCGCCCGUCGCUCCUACCGAUUGAAUGAUCCGAUGAAUAUCAUGGAUUGAGGAUGCAAGUAGGUUCGCCUAUCUUUAUCUUCGAGAAGUGAAGUAAAUCUUAUCAUUUAGAGGAAGGAGAAGUCGUAACA
rnacentral:rRNA from 1 species